rnacentral:rRNA from 1 species
ACGUAGGGUGCAAGCGUUAAUCGGAAUUACUGGGCGUAAAGCGUGUGUAGGCGGUUCGGAAAGAAAGAUGUGAAAUCCCAGGGCUCAACCUUGGAACUGCAUUUUUAACUGCCGAGCUAGAGUAUGUCAGAGGGGGGUAGAAUUCCACGUGUAGCAGUGAAAUGCGUAGAUAUGUGGAGGAAUACCGAUGGCGAAGGCAGCCCCCUGGGAUAAUACUGACGCUCAGACACGAAAGCGUGGGGAGCAAACAGG